CCUACGGGUGACAGCAGUGAGGAAUAUUGGUCAAUGGGCGAGAGCCUGAACCAGCCAAGUCGCGUGAGGGAAGACGGUCCUAUGGAUUGUAAACCUCUUUUGUCGGGGAGCAAAAAGCGCCACGUGUAGCGUUUCGAGAGUACCCGAAGAAAAAGCAUCGGCUAACUCCGUGCCAGCAGCCGCGGUAAUACGGAGGAUGCGAGCGUUAUCCGGAUUUAUUGGGUUUAAAGGGUGCGCAGGCGGCAGGUAAAGUCAGCGGUAAAAUUGAGGGGCUCAACCUCGACGAGCCGUUGAAACUGGCUUGCUUGAGUGAGCGAGAAGUAUGCGGAAUGCGUGGUGUAGCGGUGAAAUGCAUAGAUAUCACGCAGAACUCCGAUUGCGAAGGCAGCAUACCGGCGCUCAACUGACGCUCAGGCACGAAAGUGUGGGUAUCGAACAGGAUUAGAUACCCGAGUAGUC
rnacentral:rRNA from 1 species